AGUCAAGUAAUUAAGUGCAUGUGGUGGAUGCCUUGGCAGUCAGAGGCGAUGAAAGACGUGAUAGCCUGCGAAAAGCUCCGGGGAGGCGGCAAAUAUCCUUUGAUCCGGAGAUGUCUGAAUGGGGGAACCCACCUACUUUAAGGUAGGUAUUGCAACAUGAAUACAUAGUGUUGCAAGGCGAACGAGGGGAAGUGAAACAUCUCAGUACCCUUAGGAAAAGAAAUCAAUUGAGAUUCCCUCAGUAGCGGCGAGCGAACGGGGAUCAGCCCAUUAAGUUAUGUGUGUUUUAGUGGAACGCUCUGGGAAGUGCGAACGUAGAGGGUGAUAUUCCCGUACACGAAAGGGCACACAUAAUGAUGACGAGUAGGGCGAGGCACGUGAAACCUUGUCUGAAUAUGGGGGGACCAUCCUCCAAGGCUAAAUACUCCUGACUGACCGAUAGUGAACCAGUACCGUGAGGGAAAGGCGAAAAGAACCCCUGUGAGGGGAGUGAAAUAGAUCCUGAAACC
rnacentral:rRNA from 1 species